UCCACUGACUAGUGUAAGCAGCUGCCAUUGCCAAUUACAGUUGGAGAGGACCGGCGUACUGAAGGUCUAUUCUCUUCAGGCGAAUAAUUGUUCAACUAAUAAAGAGUAAUUAUUUGGGUUUACUCUUACAGAAAACCCUUUAUUACUCAACAAAAGAAAUGAAUUCAUUGUUAAAAUUUUACGACUCUCUCGUCUCAAAUCAAAGCAAUUUUGCACUUCUCAAAAUGACGAAGAAACUGUCAAAGAAAUUAAAAAAUUUCUCAACCAGGACGACUGGAAGUUUCUCAUUGAAUCACCACAGAUAUCAAAGAAGCUGAACCCAGAUGUGGUUCAGUCGAUUCUUCAGCAAAACCAGGUACAGGACCCCAAACGCCUCUUUGCUUUCUUUAACUGGGUCAAUACUAGACUGGGUACCCGCCAAAAUUUGAGUUCUUUUUCAUAUCUUGCAAUAAUAUUGUGUAAGUCGAGGCUUUUUUAUCGUGCUUUUCGUGUGAUUGUUGGAAUGAUUGGAGCCAAGCAGUCACAUUUUCAGAUUUUGGAGUCACUGCUUGGAUGUUACGAAGAAUUUAAUGAGAGAGUGAUGUAUCUGUUUUUGAAUUGUUGAUUGAUUGUUAUAAAAAGGUGGGUCUUUUGGAUGAAGCUACUAAUGUGUAUCUUGGUAUUGUUAAAGAUGGUGGGCCGGUGCUUGGUUUGGUGUGUUGUAAUUCCUUUUUGAAGGAUUUGUUGAGGGGAAAUAGAGUGGACUUAUUUUGGAGGGUGUAUUAUGCAAUGAGAGAAGCUAAGGUCACUAGUCUGAUAAAUGCUCAUUUUGUAGUUGGGAAUGUUGAGGAGGGUAAAAGGAUUCUUUUUGAAAUGGAGGAGAAAGGUUGUAGUCCAAAUUUGAUUACUUAUAAUGUGGUUAUGUAGAGUUGGGGCUAUUCAUGACGCGUUUGACCUAAAGGAGAGCAUGAUUCACAAGGGCUUGGCUCCUGAUGGAUUUACUUAUGGUAUGCUUAUCAAUGGGUUCUGUAAAAAGAAGAGAUUGGGAGAGGCAAAGUUGAUGUUGAAGGAGAUGUAUGAUAGGGAUGUAAGUCCUGACCAGGUUGUGUAUACAACCCUUGUCGAAGGUCACGUUCAGGAACACAGAUUUGAAGAGGCAAUAAAUUUGCUGAAGGUAAUGCCCGAGAAAGGUGUUUUACCCUAUGUCUUUUGCUACAAUUCUCUUAUGAUUGGCCUCUGCUGGGCCAAAAAGAUGGAAGAUGCCAGGAGUUACUUAGCUGAAAUGAUUGCAAGGGGAUUGAAGCUCAAUGUCUAUACUUAUGGGGCUCUAAUUCAUGAAUAUAUCAAGGCAGGUGACAUGCAAGCUGCAGACAGGUAUUUCCAAGAGAUGCUUGGCUGCGGCAUAGCUUCAAAUGAUAUCAUUUAUACAAAUCUGAUAGAUGGACACUGCAAAGAGGGCAACAUAAAGGAAGCCUUUUCAAUGUUUAGAUGCAUGCUUGGACGAGGGUGAUCCUAGAUGAAAAGACUUACAGUGUCCUCAUUCAUGGUCUCUUCAAGAGUGGAAAAAUUCAUGAAGCAGUGGGGGUACUCUCUGAACUUGGUGACAAAGGUCUGGUGCCUGAUGUUUUUACUUAUGGCUCCCUCAUUUCUGGCUUUUGUAAGCAAGGUGAUAUGCUGGAGGCUUUCCAACUUUUUGAAGAGAUGUGUGGGAAGGGUAUUUCUCCAAAUAUUGUUUCUUAUAUAAUGUCAUGAUCAAUGGCUUAUGUAGGUUGGGUGAAAUCGAGAGAACUAGGGAGCUAUUUGAUGGAAUCUUUGGCAAGGGUUUAGCUCCUAAUGGUGUGACUUAUACUACAAUUAUAGAUGGAUAUUGCAAAUCUGGUAAUUUAACUGAGGCAUUUCAGUUAUUGGAUCAGACGUCAUCAAGAGGGGUUCCUUCUGAUAGUUUUGCUUGCUGUGCCCUAGUUGAUGGCUGCUGCAAACAACGAAAUACAGAGAAGGCUCUGUCCUUGUUUCUAGAAAUGAUUCAGAAGGGCUUUGCUUCCACUUCUUCAUUCAAUGCUUUGAUUGAUGGUUGAUGCAAGUCAGGGAAAAUUAAGGUAGUUAAUUGGCUGUUGGAAGACAUGAUUGACAAGCAUAUCACACCAAAUCAUGUGACCUACACAAUUCUAAUUGAUUAUUGCUGCAAGGCAGGAACAAUGAAGGAGGUGGAGCACCUCUUACCGGUGAUGACAAAAAGGAAUUUGAUGCCUAAUGUUUUAACUUACACUUCACUUUUACAUGGUUAUGAAAGAAUAGGAAGCAGAUCUGAGAUGUUCACUCUUUUUGAUGAGAUGGUGGAGAGAGGAAUUGAGCCUGAUGGAGUAAUCUACAGCAUGAUGCUUGAUGCUUGCUUAAAAAAAGUAAUUGAGUGAAAAAAAUUAAGUUGGUGGAUGAAAUAUUUGCUAAGGGUGUGGCACAAACCAAUACUUAUAUGGUUCACUAAUAAACACCCUAUCCAAAGAGGAAGAAUUUUAUGAACUGUUGAAAUUACUUGAUGAAAUGAGAGAGCAAGAAGUUAAGCUUAAUCUUCCUACAUGUUGCCCUCUCAUCCAUGGUUUUUUUGAAGCAGGAAAUACGGAAAAAGCAGCCACACUUCUGGAGAAGAUGGUCCACACUGGAUGGGUUCCAGACUCCCCUGUUAUAACUGAUUUUGUUAAAGAAGCGCAAAAUGAUACAAACUCUGAGAGUGAUAUUAAUUUCUUAAAGCAAGCAGCAGUUGUACGUGUGCAUCCAGUGUAAACUUAUGUGCUGGAGAAGAGAGCCGGAAUUUCCAUCCUUUCAACUAUUCCUUCUGUACUUAAUGAAAUAGAACAGGGUAGCUGACCCCAUCAAAUACAGGAAACUAACUCCAUGUUGGCCAUUGGCAUAGCAAAAUAUGGUGGCAGCCAAAAUAGAUCAAGUUCACUGUGUAAUACCCUUUGUCAUCGAAUCAUGGUGAAAAAUUUCUAAACUAGGGUUCCAAAUUCUAAAGGUGGAUAUGAGAAAAGAUGACAUAUGAUUAUUUCUGGUGAUGACAGGGGCAUGGAGUAAGGGCGGUGGUGAAUGGUGAUUGUGAGGAGGACAGUGGUGAAGGCAGAUGGGACUAAUAUUCAACUAAAGUUGUAGGGAAUGAUGCAAGUAAAAUGAGGGGUAUGACUAAUUUAAUCUAUCUUGUCUUCCACCAUCAUUGGAGUGGCUUAGCUGAGGAACCUGUGUGUAGCAAGAUGAUCAGUUCCAGAGAGAAGAGAAAGUGGUAAAUCCUUCUCUGAUUGGUUACCAAGGAAUUGGUCGGUCUCCAAUAUCCCAGGGUGACCCCUUCCGUGCUUCUUUCUUUGUGUAACCCUUCCAUCCUUUGUAGAAAUAAAGAUCCCAUUCAUUAUUUAUAUGUUCAACACAUAUCCAUAUGAAUUUAAUUUCUACAUACUGGGCACAAUUAGAAUCACUUUUAUUCCCCAGCUUUAUAUGUGAUAGACAAUUUACAACAGUUUAUAUAUUAAGCGUCAGCCUUACAGCCUUACAAACUAAUUUUCCCUUAUUAAUUAAACAUCUUUCUUGAGAAGGUUUAAGAAAUCAAAGAUUAACAUAGUGUACUUGAUCUGCAGAUGAUAUUAGUUUUAAUUUUUUGAGCAUAUGAUUUGUGCGUUGAAAGUUGAGCAUAAUACAUUUUCCUGCUGGCAUAAUUUUGGUAAAUUUCCUCUUUUAACUGUCAUGGAAUUUCUGAGUUCUUAUGUACAGGGACCUAAAUCCUAAUGAAGGAAAAAUAACAACUAUUGAAGACGCAAAAAAGCACCUGCAACAGAGCCCUCAGCACAAAUGAUAUUUUUGCCUUUUUGAUAGAAGUCCUCUCAACUGCAUGACUAAUUUACACGUAUUUGGAUGCUAGCUGCAGUGGAGUACUACCAUCUCUAUCAACAGCUUGCGGGUCAGCUCCCCUGUAAUAACAUUGCUAAAUCUGAGUGACAUUUUCCCACAUUGGAAAAAAAAAAAAAUAGCAGUAAUAGAAGGGGAGAAAUCACCUUGCAAGCAGCAGUUUUGCAAUUGAAGUUCUCCCACUAAUUACAGAAUGAUGCAGUGGCGUCUUGCCACUUGAAUCGGGAGCAUUUACGUUUGCACCAUACUGUAGGAGAAGUUCCA